UUUGCCCCUAGAGGCACUGCAGGUGUGGCUGCUGUGCCACAUGGGCGUCAGUAGGUGGCAGAGAGAAGAGAGGCUAUGUCUAUGCUCAGUGUUCUGAUCUGUGAACAUCUGAAUGAUUAGUAGCUUAACAUA